UACCCUGUCCGGUAUGAGGGUGAACUAUAUCUCCCAAAUCCUUCCAAUAUGAGAUUUCUCAAUCCUAUCUAACUGAAAUAAUGUGUAUAGUAGAAUUUUUCCUAUGUACUCAGUCCGUCCACCCUUUUCUAGGGUACUCAGUAAGCCUUUUAUAGAUAAAUUCACAACAUUAAUCAAUCAUCAAUUAUAUAUCAAUAUCUCAUAU
rnacentral:lncRNA from 1 species